CCUAAACUUCUGUUUAUCUGGAAAUGUCCUAAUUUCACCUUCAUAUUUGAGAGACAGUUUUGCUGGAUACAUGAUUCUUGGCUGGCAAUUUUUUUCCUUCAGUUCUUUAUAGAAGUCAUCCCAUUGCCUUCUUGCCUGCAUGGUUUCUGCCAAGCAGCCUGAGUUAUUCUUAUUGCCUGUCCUUUGUAAGUGACUUUUCAUUUAUCUCUGACUGCUCUUAAAAUUCUCUCUUUACCUUUGGUUUUGGCAAGUUUGGUUAUAAUAUAUCUUGGUGACUUUCUUUUAAAAUCUACCUUAUGUGGAGUUUGAUAAGCAUCUUGGAUUGAUAUCUCCUCAUCUUUCACGAUAUCAGGGAAGUUUUCUGCCAACAAAUCUUUAACAAUUCUCUCUGUAUUUUCUGCUAUCCCUCCCUGUUCUGGUACUGCAAUCACUUGUAGGUUAUUUCUCUUAUUUCACAUGAUUCUUAAGAUUUCUUUAUUUUGUUAAAUUCUUUUAUCUGAUUUUUUUUCAAAUAUGUUGGUGCCAAGUACUUUAUCCUCACGGUCACCUGUUCUGCCCUCCACUUGCUCGAUUUGGCUCCUCUGGCUUUCUAUUGAUUUGUCUAAUUCUGUAAUUUUAUUGUUAAUCUUCUUAAUUUCUGUUUGCUGUCUCUGUAUGGAUUCUUGCAGCUUAUUAAAUUUUUCAUUAUGUUCUUGAAUAACCUUUUUAAUUUCUUCAGCUGUUUUAUCUGUGUGUUCUUUGGCUUGUUCUGCAUAUUGCCUGAUCUCCUUCCUUAUGUCUUGAAGAGUUCUGUAUAUUAAUCUUUUGAAUUCUGCAUCCAGUAAUUCCAGGAAGGCUCCUUCAUCCAGAAGGUCCUUUGAGUCUCUGUUUUAAGAGUUUGUUGAAGCGAUCAUGGUCUGUUUCUUUACAUGGUUUGAUAUUGACUGUUGUCUCUGAGCCAUCUAUAAGUUAUUAUAUUGGUUUAUUUUAUAUUUGCUUACUGUAUCCUAGUUUCUUGCUUUGUUUUAUUUUGAUAUGUCCAAAUAGGUUGCUUGAGUGAGGUAGAUUGAUUAUUUUCGCCUUUGGAGCACUGACAUCCUGUCACCCGAUGGCUAGAUCUGUUAUCAGGUAUAUGAGCUUAUGAGUCCAUUCACUUUUCUUGUGUGGAUUCAGCUCAGGUGUCCAGGUAUCUGGUCAUCAACUGUGUGGUACAGGCUGUGUCCUACAGUCUUAGAGGGGCAGGGAUGAUUGGUAUAGGUACCAGUAUCUGGUUGCUCUAGGGGGUCAAGCUAUGAACAGGGUAGGGGGUUGAGAACCAUCUCCUGAGUGUCUCUGAGGAAAGCUAACAAAAAAAGCAACUCACUUUAGGGGCCAGUUUAACAACACCCCCUUGUAUUUGCUUUCCUUGUUUUUGCCCUUGCCCUCCCUGGUCUUCCAAUCUUGUUCCCUAGUUAAUUUCCAAAAUAAUUUUCCUGUAAGAAUGGCUUUGUCUCAGGUUCUCUGGGAGAGACACAAUCUAAGCACUUUGUAUUUUCCAUUACUGAGGAAAAAAAAAUCAAACCCAUUGAGGUCGAGUUGAUUUUGACUCAUAACGACCCUAUAGGACAGAGUAGAACUGCCUCCACCAAGGAGCACCUGGUGGAUUUGAACUGCUGACCUUUUGGUUAGCAGCCAUAGCACUUAACCACUACUUCACCAGAGUUUCAACUGAGAAAAUAGCUCAUUGCAAAUAGUUGAAAUUUAAGAACCAGUUUAAAAAAGGAGAGAAGCACAAAAGUACAGCAUCUCUCAGUUGUAUUCCACUGUCUCUAGAACUGUGCAUACACACCUCAGGAAGAUGCACCUUAGGAGAUUGUAUUACUCUGAGUAUUAUUGAAUAGGGGAUUUUUUUUCUUUGUUGUGCUUUAAGUGAAAGUUUACAAAUCAAGUCAGUCUCUCAUACAACUUGUGAUAUACUCCUAGGUGCUCUCCCCCUAAUUAGAUAGCACACUCUUUCUCUGCUCUAUAUUCCCCUUGUCUACUCAGCCAGCUCCUGUCGCCCUCUGCCUCCUCAUUUCACCUCCAUACAGGAGUUGCCUACAUAGUCUCAUGUGUCUGCUUGAGCCAAGAAGCUCACUCCUCACCAGUAUCAUUUUCUAUAUUAUAGUCAAGUCCAAUCCCUGCCUGAAGAGUUGGCUACAGGAAUGGUUCUAGUCUUGGGCUAACAAAGGAUUCAGGGACCAUGACCUCCAGAGUCCCUCUAGUCUCAGUCAGACCAUGAAGUCUGGUCUUUUUACAAGAAUCUGAGAUCUGCAUCCCACUUUUCUCCUGCUCCAUCAGGGAAUCUCUUUUGUGUUCCCUGCCAGUGUAGUCAUGGUUGGUAGCCAGACACCAUCUAGUUCUUCUGAUCUCAGGCUGAUGUAGUCUCUGGUUUAUGUGACCAUUUCUGUCUCGGGCUAACCUUUACCUUAUGUCUUUGGUGUUCUUCAUUUUCCUUUGCUGCAGGUGAGUUGAAACCAAUUGAUGCACCUUAGAUGGCCACUUGCUAGUGUUUAAGACCCCAGAUACCACUCACCAUAGUGGGAUGCAGAAUGUUUUCUUAAUACAUUGUGUUAUGCCAGCUGACCUAGAUGUGCCCUGAAACCAUGGUCCCCAAGCUCCCAUCCCUGCUACUCUGGCCUACAAAGUGUUCAGUUGUAUUUAGGAAACUUCUUUUGUCUGGCUUAGUCCAGUUGUGCUGACCUCUCCUGUAUUGUGUGUUGUCUUUCCCUUCACCAAAAAUAGUUCUUGUCUACUAUCUAAUUAGUGAAUACCCCUCUUCCUCCCUUACCACCCCUGUAACCAUCAGAGAAUAUUUUCUUCUGUGUUUGAACUUUUUCUUGAGUUCUUAUCCUAGUGGUCUCAAACAAUAUUUGUUCUUUUGCAUCUGAUUAAUUUCACUCAGCAAAAUCCCUUCCAGAUUCCUCCAUGUUAUGAGAUGUUUCACAGAUUCAUUGCUGUUCUUAAUUGUGUUCAUUGUUGUUCUUAAAAAUCUUUAGGGAUUUUUAUAAAGGUAAGAUAUUACAAAACUCUUGAGAAGUUCAGGAAGUUAGGAGGCUUUGAAAGAGCAGAGAAAACCCUGAGCAACAGUGCAGGUUAACAGCUCUGAGCAUGCGGGGGGAACCUGGCAAACUAGACUUGUAUAGCUGCUGGCAUGGGAGUGCAAAAGAGAGCUGGUGGAGAAGUCUAUGGACAACUGCUUCCUCAGUGAGGGUGGUGACCUGGGGACAUUGUUGGCUGGCAAGACAAGGAGUUGGGAAGUCGAGGUAUAUGUAGAAUGAGGAAGAGCCAGGACAAGCUGGAAGUCUGGGCACCUUUGGGUCUGUCUUGUCUCAGUUACUCAUGACCGCCUCCAGAGAGUAAAGGCUACUGCUUCCCUUUAACCUUUGAAAUAUCAUGCAGGGAUGGAGAUCCUAGGGAACAGUUCUAGCUUAGCCAAGCGGACACCGUACAAAUCAGAGAGAGUGAAAGAUUUGGAGGAAACAAUUUUGGGACCAGAAUUACUUACUGUGGCACUGUGGAAAAAGAUUAAUAUUAUUACCAUCUGUGAAGAGCAGGUCUUGAAGUCUUUGAGCUUAGCCAUUCCACAGAGAGAACCCUCAGUACUUUCUUGACUUUGAAGAUGUGCCAGAAAAUCAAAUGGAACUGGAGAAAGAACAAUUAAUGUGUCUUGAUGAAUGAUGUGAUUUCAGACUUGUGCUAGGUGGCUCAUUACAACAGAAAAUAGCUCAUUACAAAAAGCAAAUUGCUCUGUAGCCAAGACACUGGCCUUAAUGGACUCUACCGAUGAGCUUCCUGGGCUUCUUGCUUUUAGGUUGAUGUGGGUCAGUGGAGAAAAAUGGAAGGAGAUCAGAAGGAGGAGAAUGAGCUGGCCCUUUCCAUCCAACUGUGCAUCUCUAGGUUCUGGUGUACUUAGGAACGAGGAAAAGCAAGACAUGGUAUUUUCACAUGAUACUUCCAUAGAAAGGCUCAUGACAACUCAUUUUAGUAAUAAAUUUGACCUUGAAAUGUCCAUCCAUUUACCUUUUGGUCUUUAGAUAAAUCAAAGCCAGUUGUACUCAUCUAGAGUUCAGUGGUGGGCUGAAAUUUCUUGAAAUCUGAUUGCAAAAUUUCCAGGGAGGAAUUUUGUGAGCCAGUUAACACCAUGUUGGCAGCUUGAAACUGAUUACGCUGGAAACAUUUAUACCGUGGGAAGUGAAAAAU